UAGCAAGGUUAACCGAAUAGGGGAGCCGGAGGGAAACCGAGUCUUAAUUGGGCGUUAAGUUGCAGGGUAUAGACCCGAAACCCGGUGAUCUAGCCAUGGGCAGGUUGAAGGUUGGGUAACACUAACUGGAGGACCGAACCGACUAAUGUUGAAAAAUUAGCGGAUGACCUGUGGCUGGGGGUGAAAGGCCAAUCAAACCGGGAGAUAGCUGGUUCUCCCCGAAAGCUAUUUAGGUAGCGCCUCGUGAAUUCAUCUCCGGGGGUAGAGCACUGUUUCGGCUAGGGGGCCAUCCCGGCUUACCAACCCGAUGCAAACUGCGAAUACCGGAGAAUGUUAUCACGGGAGACACACGGCGGGUGCUAACGUCCGUCGUGAAGAGGGAAACAACCCAGACCGCCAGCUAAGGUCCCAAAGUCAUGGUUAAGUGGGAAACGAUGUGGGAAGGCCCAGACAGCCAGGAUGUUGGCUUAGAAGCAGCCAUCAUUUAAAGAAAGCGUAAUAGCUCACUGGUCGAGUCGGCCUGCGCGGAAGAUGUAACGGGGCUAAACCAUGCACCGAAGCUGCGGCAGCGACACUGUGUGUUGUUGGGUAGGGGAGCGUUCUGUAAGCCUGUGAAGGUGUGUCGUGAGGCAUGCUGGAGGUAUCAGAAGUGCGAAUGCUGACAUAAGUAACGAUAAAGCGGGUGAAAAGCCCGCUCGCCGGAAGACCAAGGGUUCCUGUCCAACGUUAAUCGGGGCAGGGUGAGUCGACCCCUAAGGCGAGGCCGAAAGGCGUAGUCGAUGGGAAACGGGUUAAUAUUCCCGUACUUGGUGUUACUGCGAAGGGGGGACGGAGAAGGCUAUGUUGGCCGGGCGACGGUUGUCCCGGUUUAAGCGUGUAGGUGUGUGUUCCAGGUAAAUCCGGUUCACUUUAACACUGAGGCGUGACGACGAGGCACUACGGUGCUGAAGCAACAAAUGCCCUGCUUCCAGGAAAAGCCUCUAAGCAUCAGGUAACAUCAAAUCGUACCCCAAA
rnacentral:rRNA from 1 species